CCCAUGAGAACAAUACCCAAUAAAAUGCAAUUCGAUCUUUUCUCAACAACUCCUUCUCUGUUCGAUCUUCUCUUACUACCACUCUUCCUCGUUCCUAAGGAACACAUAUAUGUCGAUAUGCGAAGAGAGGUAAACACAUUCUGACACAACGUUUAGAGACAGUCAUUGCUGUAUCUGAGCCAAAGUUCUGAGCCAAAGUUCCGUCCUGAAGAGAACCAACGUUUCCACGCAACAAAUCACUUGUCUCGCAUUAAGGUGAAUUUGCAAAUACAAACGAGUUGCAAUGUCUCAUCUUCUUGGUGUAGGGGAUGUGGUAACAAUAAGUGUUGAUGAGAAAACAUUGAAGAAAAACCAAGAAGAUCAUGGAGGCUGGGAUUUCCGUUUGUCAAGUCUUAUAGGUGAUGUUGGUGAAGUUACGGGAAUCGAUUAUAGAAGAGAUGCAAGUGUGAAAUUCAAGAAAUACAAUGACGUAUUUACCAUUAAUUCAGCGAGUCUCUUAGUUUACAAUCCUGAACAGAAAUGAGAUUACUCAGAGUUAGAAACGGAAGACAUCCAUCUAAUAUGAUUAAUUCAGCUGCUUUUUCUAUCUGCCUCUCUGACUCCUCUCUUUCUCUGAAGUCUGGACCAUAUUCCUUUUACUGAGAAUACAGAUGUAAUCUAUUUCUUUCUUUCAUUUUCUUUUUCUUCGACUUCUACUUCUCCUCCUCCUCCCCCUCCUCCUCCCCUUCUCUCCCUCCCCCUCCUUUCUCCCUUCUCCUCCACUCAUCCCAUAAUGAUGACGCUGACACAGAAGCUUUCUUCAAUCACCACCUCUCAGCAUCAAUUACUUCUGGGUCAGAAAAUUCUCGAACUCAACAACUGCAAACACCCACAACAAACCUCUUGUCUAAGAGCCACUGCGAAGGAAAUACUGCUUCGACAUCUCGGACAAUGUUCAGGCUGCACAUGCUAACCUCCAAGACCAGCUCCAAGAAAGCUACUGGCGUCAUUCAGAUGAAGUCGUUUUCUCUCUGACACAGAAGCAUCCUUUCACUUCUCUCCCUCUCUUUCCUUUUCUACUUCUACAACUAUUGGCUGUAUUCAUUACGUCCAGACUCACACUUCUCUCUUCCUCUUCGCCCGUAUUUUGUUUCUUCUUCUGCCUUACUUAAAUCUUAUAAUUCGACAGUUAAAUCUGCAGUAAAUUGUAAUUGUCAACGUUUCAACUUCAAUAAAUAUCUUUAUAACUAUA